GAGCAGGGUCCCGCCUUCAGGUGUUUGGGACUCAGCUGAGGGUGUGGGUGCCCCGCGGUGGGGGCUGAACCUUCCUGGGGUGUGGAGAGACGAAAGGAGCCCAGAUCCAAGUUCCCUCGUUCCCGCUUUGGCAUAAGUUGCCCUGGCGGUCUCAUGAGAGAGAGAAAGAGCUGGGACCCUCCUCGCCCCAGUGAGUGUGAUGUCUUGCUCCGGGUGUCCUGGGGCAACUUUCUAUACAGGCGGGACGUGGGAGGAUCAGACAGUGUAACAUCAGACAAGGGUGUUGACUCUGCAGCACAGAACCAGUAGUUUGUGGAGAAGAAUGGAGGUGUGGUGUUGAAUCUGCUAGACAGGCUACUGAAGCAAAAGUCAAGAGAUCCAGAUUCCAUCAUGGGGACACUUUAGCUGUUGUAAAAAGGAUUGAGUUCUUGAUUGAUUCCCAGCUUGGUCAUUGGUGUAUAGCAGUGCUACUGAUUUGUUUACAUUCAUUUUGUAACCUGAGACUUUACUGAAUUCGUGUAUCAGAUCUAGGAGCCUUUUGGGUAAGUCUUUUGGGUUUUUUAGGUAUAUGAUCAUAUCAUUGGUGAAUUUCUUCAUCGGGUAAUUGAGCUGAUAUCAGGUGUCUGAAGGAGGCAAGUUUUGAAGAUGUGGGUCAUGAUGGCUGCUGAAGCUUCCACUCCAUAUUUGAAGGUCAGCAGUUCUCAGGAAACCUCUAGCACUUCCAUCCCUGGUGGGAUGUGAUGCCUGUCUCAGUGUAACAUCAGAGAAGGGGUGUACUCUGUGCCCUAGAACUAGGAGCUAACAGAGAAAAACCAAAUGUGAUGUGGAGUCUGCUAGACAGGCUACUGGAGCAAGAGUGAAGCGAUGAAAGUCUCAUCAUUGGGACAU
rnacentral:lncRNA from 1 species